rnacentral:rRNA from 1 species
UGGGGAAUAUUGCACAAUGGGCGGAAGCCUGAUGCAGCGACGCCGCGUGGGGGAUGACGGCCUUCGGGUUGUAAACCCCUUCGCCCGGGACGAAGCGAGAGUGGCGUACCGGGAGAAGAGCACCGGCCAACUACGUGCCAGCAGCCGCGGUAAUACGUAGGGUGCAAGCGUUGUCCGGAAUUAUUGGGCGUAAAGAGCUUCGUAGGGGUGUGU